GCCCCGGUGGCUCAGCGGUAGAGCACAUGGCUGUUAACCAUGCGGUCACCAGUUCAAAUCUGGUCCGGGGCG
rnacentral:tRNA from 1 species